GUUUUUGAGGCCUUCCAUGUUGGAUUUAGGUGAUUUUAGCAUGCAGAAUUUUUUUCAUCUCAUAAAAAUAUAGCAGAAAGCAUGGAUUAAACAUUUUAACCUAUUGCAUGUCCUAGAUCUCAUCUAAUAUCACCUAAAAAGAAUCUAACAUGCAUAAUAAAAUCAGAUUAUAGAUCUGAAAAUAGAAAUAAAGAGGAUUGAAAUCUUACAUUGGGAUCGCUAUCCACUUGCAAG
rnacentral:lncRNA from 1 species